rnacentral:lncRNA from 1 species
GUUCUUUCAGCUUAAUAAAAACCCUAAUUGAGGAGUCUCUAGCUGCUUGCUCACACCUGCUUUUACUCUAACCUGGACAACUCACAGUCAAGACCUUCCGUCCGGUAACAAAGCAACAGACCUCAGUCAUGUCAUCUGCUUACAAAGGAGCCACGAAUCAAGACCGAUUCCGUGUGCUCUUGACGAUUCUGUUACACUCCUGCAGACAGGGUAUCGCUCUGCCUCCCAGGCUGGAGUGCAGUGGCACAAUCACAGCUCACUGCAGCCUCGACCUUCUCGGCUCAAGCAAUCCUCCUACCUCAGCCUCCUGAGUAGCUGGGAUUGCAGGCAUUCAUCACCACACCCAGCACCAGGCCCAGAGGCCUACCUGCAGAACCAGGAGCCUUCCCAGAGAUGCCUGUUGAUGGAUGGCUACACUGAGAACCUGAAAUAGCGUGCAAAUAACUCUCUUCUCUGUACUUGAAGCCAAAUCGCAUUCCCAGGCAGACAUAUCCAGCGGGGAAAGAAGAAACAAGAAAAUGAAUGAUCCACUUGCACAAGAAUCUCUCCUAUGAGCAAGUGUUAGGUGAGGGUGGGGAUAAGAUGCCUGUCUCGGGAGACAAGGCUGUACAAAUUCAUAAUUUGAAUUUUUAUGGUUAAUUUUAUGGUUAAUUUUAUGGAAUUUUAUGGUUAAUCUUGGAUAGUGGGAUUUGGGAUAAAUUUGCUUUUAUAAUAUGUAAUUGUAUUUUCUGAAUUUUCUACAGUGAACUCGUAUUGCUUUUAUGAACAGGAAAAAG